GGGGGGGGGGGGGGGGGGGCGGAGGGCAGGCAGGGCGGGGGGGGAGGCCGGAGCUUGCUUCGGUACUCGAGUGGCGAACGGGGGAGUAACACGUGGGUGAUCUGCCCUGUACUUCGGGAUAAGCUUGGGAAACUGGGUCUAAUACCGGAUAUGACAAUCUCUUGGAUGGGGUUGUGGAAAGCUUUUGCGGUAUGGGAUGAGCUCGCGGCCUAUCAGCUUGUUGGUGGGGUAAUGGCCUACCAAGGCGUCGACGGGUAGCCGGCCUGAGAGGGUGUACGGCCACAUUGGGACUGAGAUACGGCCCAGACUCCUACGGGAGGCAGCAGUGGGGAAUAUUGCACAAUGGGCGCAAGCCUGAUGCAGCGACGCCGCGUGGGGGAUGACGGCCUUCGGGUUGUAAACUCCUUUCGCAACCGACGAAGCUUUUUGUGACGGUAGGUUGAGAAGAAGCACCGGCUAACUACGU
rnacentral:rRNA from 1 species